rnacentral:lncRNA from 1 species
UACUGUCUUUUCGAGGUAGGAGUCGACUCCUGUGAGGUAUGGUGCUGGGUGCAGAUGCAGUGUGGCUCUGGAUAGCACCUUAUGGACAGUUGUGUCCCCAAGGAAGGAUGAGAAUAGCUACUGAAGUCCUAAAGAGCAAGCCUAACUCAAGCCAUUGGCACACAGGCAUUAGACAGAAAGCUGGAAGUUGAAAUGGUGGAGUCCAACUUGCCUGGACCAGCUUAAUGGUUCUGCUCCUGGUAACGUUUUUAUCCAUGGAUGACUUGCUUGGGGUUUUUAAUGACCACAACAAGCAAGCAUGCAGCUUACUGCUUGAAAGGGUCUUGCCUCACCCAAGCUAGAGUGCAGUGGCCUUUGAAGCUUACUACAGCCUCAAACUUCUGGGCUCAAGUGAUCCUCAGCCUCCCAGUGGUCUUUGUAGACUGCCUGAUGGAGUCUCAUGGCACAAGAAGAUUAAAACAGUGUCUCCAAUUUUAAUAAAUUUUUGCAAUCCAUCUGGA